rnacentral:misc_RNA from 1 species
UGAAGAGAGAAAAGCCUAGAAUGAGCAUUGAUCUGAAGCUAUUCACGUUACAGAACUCGAGAUAUUGAAGCCCAGCUGAAGCUGCAAUAAGUAAUCUCUUAACUAUUUGAAAAAUCCUAAAAAGUAUUACUAUCCGAAAAAUCUUAAAUAGUAUUGUGUUGAUUUUCAGCAAUAUUUUGUGUCCUAAUUGAUCAAGUUGAGAUUGUUAGGAAAUUUAAUAUCACUUUCACUAGUUUGUCUUCUUUUGUAAAAUCAGUUAGACUGUCAUAGUAAACAUUAGUUUGCAACUUUUUAAUUAAUGAAAACACAAAAUUCCACCAUAUCUUUGAUACAAAAAUUAUAAUUAGCCGAGGCGAGACAUACCCACGUAGGGGAAGAGGAAAGUAUGAAGAGCUCCCACAAUUGGCAAUGGUAUUAAAGAGAGAAAAGCCCCAACUUUUCCUGUGAGCAAACUUAAACAAUACUAAUACUCUAUUUGCAACGUUAUUUGAGCAGAAAU